CCUACGGGCGGCAGCAGUGGGGAAUAUUGGGCAAUGGAGGAAACUCUGACCCAGCAACGCCGCGUGAAUGAUGACUGUCUUCGGAUUGUAAAGUUCUUUUCUAAGGGAAGAAGUAAGUUACGGUACCUUAGGAAUAAGCCUCGGCUAACUACGUGCCAGCAGCCGCGGUAAUCCGUAGGACGCAAUAGUUAUCCGGAAUGACUGGGCGUAAAGGGUGCGUGGGUGGUUUGCAAAGUUGGUUGCGAAACUCCGAGGCUUAACCUCGGCAAUGCUACCAAGACUGUUGGACUAGAGUGCAGGAGGGGCAAACGGAAUAAGUAGUGUAGCGGUGGAAUGCGUAGAUAUAAGGAGGAACACCAGUGGCGAAGGCGAUUUGCUGGACUGUAACUGACACUGAGGCACGAGAGCGUGGGGAGCAAACAGGAUUAGAUACCCUGGUAGUC
rnacentral:rRNA from 1 species